rnacentral:rRNA from 1 species
CGGAUUUUAUUUUAGUGGCGGACGGGUGAGUAACACGUGAGAAUCUGCCUUUAGGAAAAGGAUAAUUUUUAGAAAUAGAAACUAAUACUUUAUAUGCCUUUGGUGAAAGAAGUAAUUCGCCUAAAGAGGAGCUCGCGUCUGAUUAGCUAGUUGGUAGAGUAAUAGCCUACCAAGGCGACGAUCAGUAGCUGGUCUGAGAGGACGAUCAGCCACACUGGAACUGAGACACGGUCCAGACUCC